GGACUACCGGGGUAUCUAAUCCUGUUUGCUCCCCUUGCUCUCGCGCCUCAGCGUCAGGUCUAAACUAGAAAGGCGCUUUCGCCACCGGUGUUCCUCCACGUAUCUACGCAUUUCACCGCUACUCGUGGAAUUCCCCUUUCUCCGUCAAUCCUCUAGAAAAACAGUUUCAAAUGCAGCACCAAAGUUGAGCUUUGGUAUUUCACAUCUGACUUAUCAAUCCGCCUACGCGCCCUUUACGCCCAAUAAUUCCGAUUAAUGCUUGCACCCUACGUAUUACCGCGGCUGCUGGCAC
rnacentral:rRNA from 1 species